rnacentral:rRNA from 1 species
AGUGAAUCAUCGAAUCUUUGAACGCACAUUGCGCCCGCCAGUAUUCUGGCGGGCAUGCCUGUUCGAGCGUCAUUUCAACCAUCAAGCCCCCGGCUUGUGUUGGGGACCUGCGGCUGCCGCAGGCCCUGAAAAGCAGUGGCGGGCUCGCUGUCACACCGAGCGUAGUAGCAUACAUCUCGCUCUGGGCGUGCUGCGGGUUCCGGCCGUUAAACCACCUUAUAACCCAAGGUUGACCUCGGAUCAGGUAGGAAGACCCGCUGAACUUAAGCAUAUCAAUAAGCGGAGGAAAAGAAACCAACAGGGAUUGCCCCAGUAACGGCGAGUGAAGCGGCAACAGCUCAAAUUUGAAAUCUGGCCUCGGCCCGAGUUGUAAUUUGCAGAGGAAGCUUUAGGCGCGGCACCUUCUGAGUCCCCUGGAACGGGGCGCCAUAGAGGGUGAGAGCCCCGUAUAGUUGGAUGCCUAGCCUGUGUAAAGCUCCUUCGACGAGUCGAGUAGUUUGGGAAUGCUGCUCAAAAUGGGAGGUAAAUUUCUUCUAAAGCUAAAUACCGGCCAGAGACCGAUAGCGCACAAGUAGAGUGAUCGAAAGAUGAAAAGCACUUUGAAAAGAGGGUUAAAUAGCACGUGAAAUUGUUGAAAGGGAAGCGCUUGUGACCAGACUUGCGCCGGGCGGAUCAUCCGGUGUUCUCACCGGUGCACUCCGCCCGGCUCAGGCCAGCAUCGGUUCUCGCGGGGGGAUAAAGGCGUCGGGAACGUAGCUCCUCCGGGAGUGUUAUAGCCCGUCGCGUAAUGCCCUCGCGGGGACCGAGGUUCGCGCAUCUGCAAGGAUGCUGGCGUAAUGGUCAUCAGCGACCCGUCUUGAAACACGGACCAAGGAGUCAAGGUUUUGCGCGAGUGUUUGGGUGUAAAACCCGCACGCGUAAUGAAAGUGAACGUAGGUGAGAGCUUCGGCGCAUCAUCGACCGAUCCUGAUGUUUUCGGAUGGAUUUGAGUAGGAGCGUUAAGCCUUGGACCCGAAAGAUGGUGAACUAUGCUUGGAUAGGGUGAAGCCAGAGGAAACUCUGGUGGAGGCUCGCAGCGGUUCUGACGUGCAAAUCGAUCGUCAAAUCUGAGCAUGGGGGCGAAAGACUAAUCGAACCAUCUAGUAGCUGGUUACCGCCGAAGUUUCCCUCAGGAUAGCAGUGUUGUCUUCAGUUUUAUGAGGUAAAGCGAAUGAUUAGGGACUCGGGGGCGCUUUUUAGCCUUCAUCCAUUCUCAAACUUUAAAUAUGUAAGAAGCCCUUGUUACUUAAUUGAACGUGGGCAUUCGAAUGUACCAACACUAGUGGGCCAUUUUUGGUAAGCAGAACUGGCGAUGCGGGAUGAACCGAACGCGGGGUUAAGGUGCCGGAGUGGACGCUCAUCAGACACCACAAAAGGCGUUAGUACAUCUUGACAGCAGGACGGUGGCCAUGGAAGUCGGAAUCCGCUAAGGACUGUGUAACAACUCACCUGCCGAAUGUACUAGCCCUGAAAAUGGAUGGCGCUCAAGCGUCCCACCCAUACCCCGCCCUCAGGGUAGAAACGAUGCCCUGAGGAGUAGGCGGCCGUGGAGGUCAGUGACGAAGCCU